rnacentral:rRNA from 1 species
AGAGGGGUGCAAGCGUUAAUCGGAAUUACUGGGCGUAAAGCGUGCGUAGACGGUUACAUAAGUCGGGGUGUGAAAGCCCCGGGCUCAACCUGGGAAUUGCAUUCGAGACUGCGUAGCUAGGGUGCGGAAGAGGGAAGCGGAAUUUCCGGUGUAGCGGUGAAAUGCGUAGAUAUCGGAAGGAACACCAGUGGCGAAAGCGGCUUCCUGGUCCAGCACCGACGUUCAGGCACGAAAGCGUGGGGAGCAAACAGGAUUAGAUACCCUGGUAGUCCACGCCAUAAACGAUGAGAACUAGACGUUGAAGGGGUAAGCCCUCCAGUGUCGUAGCUAACGCGCUAAGUUCUCCGCCUGGGGAGUACGGCCGCAAGGUUG